rnacentral:tRNA from 1 species
GCCGGUGUGGUGAAAUUGGUGUACACGACGGAUUCAAAAUUCGUUGCAGUAAUGCGUGACGGUUCGAGGCCGCCCAUCGGUACCU